rnacentral:rRNA from 1 species
GUACACGCUGUGACUAGCAUAUCAAUAAGCGGAGGAAAAGAAACUAACAAGGAUUCCCCUAGUAACGGCGAGUGAAGCGGGAAGAGCUCAAAUUUGAAAUCUUAAAGGGUUUCCCUUUACGAAUUGUAGUUUAAAGAAGCGUUUUCUGUUGAGGUUUUGGUAAAAGUUCUUUGGAAUAGGACAUCAUAGAGGGUGAGAAUCCCGUAUUUGACCUUUACUUUCAAACUUUGUGAUACACUUUCAAAGAGUCGGAUUGUUUGGGAAUGCAGUCCAAAAUGGGUGGUAAAUUUCAUCUAAAGCUAAAUAUUGGCGAGAGACCGAUAGCGAACAAGUACCGUGAGGGAAAGAUGAAAAGAACUUUGAAAAGAGAGUUAAACAGUACGUGAAAUUGUCAAGAGGGAAGCGCUUUGACACCAGUGUUGUUUUUCUGAAAAUCAAUUAAAGAACUGUUUAUGCUAAGUUGUUUAGACUUUAUCAGCUAACUGUUUAGUUUUGAGCUUUUCUUUAAUGCACUUUUCAGUUAACAAGUCAACAUCAAUUUCUUUUGCUGUAAAAAAGCUUGAGGAAGGUGGCUUGAGAUUCGUCUUAAGUGUUUAUAGCCUCUUGCCUAUGCAGUCGGAGAGAUUGAGGUCUGCAGCGUAGAUCCUUCGGGGCUAAAUGCAUUUGUGCUAAGUUAUAGCAUUUUAUAGACAACUUGUUGACUAUGAUUUGUCUUGUAGCUUACUCGCUUAUGUUAUUUUACCUACGCUUAGGAUGUUGAGUCGUAGAGCACGCAG